CCUGAGGCUGGUGGAGGGACACCCAGGCGGGAGAGGGGCAAGAACUCCCUUCCUUCUUGAACCCCCUUUUCCUGGAGCAGACGAGUUGGGGGAGCCCUCCAUACAUUACCCACUGGGCCGCAUACACUCUUCUUUAGCCCUCUGCCCUGAUGGAAUCUCUCCCCUUGCUUAUAUCUGAAACCAGUGCUCGGUGGCGUAGCCAAAAGAAACUCGCACUUAGACAGAAAACUUAUCAGCAAGGCACCUUUACUUCCGCAGAGGGGUGCUGCUUGCGCGUUACAAUCGCAAGAGCACACCGACCAGAGGAGGGACGAUUCUAACCCUAACGCACUUCCUGUUCCUGUGUCCUUCCCGUUGGCUGGGGUCCGACCUCACCAUCUAAGCUGAUCCCGAUUAACUCUGCCAAACAGGGUACACGCGCGAUUUGCGAAAAACAGAAGUGGGGGGGGGAGGUAGGAUUGAUUUACAACUUAGGACCGAAAAAGUUGAGUCUUUAAGAGGACUUUAGUUGUCCCAACAAUUUCCCUUCUUCUGUUUUAUGUAUUUCUUCCUCUUCAAAUUUCUUCAACAGGAUUUGGCUUUGUUGUUCUUGAUUAUCUAGGAGCAAGAGCUUACCUAGCUGGGGAGGUGGGGAAGGUUUUUGUGAGAGCUGCUUCUAUCAGCCUUUGGGUUAACCCACGAAUACAAGGGGAUACAGAAGGACAGGUCCUUGCCUCCAGCAUAGAGCAUAACUUAUCUCCUCUUGAGAAACUGGACUUUUAUCAUUGACAUACUGGAUCAGGAGUUGGCAUAUCCAGUCCUCGCCGACCCAAACUUUGGCCAAAAGACCGAAGGUCUGAGGAUGGGUUCCUUAGUCCAAAUGAAACAGCAAUUCUUCAUCAUC